UGGGGAAUAUUGGACAAUGGGCGCAAGCCUGAUCCAGCCAUGCCGCGUGAGUGAUGAAGGCCUUAGGGUUGUAAAGCUCUUUCGCUCGGGACGAUAAUGACGGUACCGAGAUAAGAAGCCCCGGCUAACUUCGUGCCAGCAGCCGCGGUAAUACGAAGGGGGCUAGCGUUGUUCGGAAUUACUGGGCGUAAAGCGCGUGUAGGCGGGUCUUUAAGUCAGGGGUGAAAUGCCAAGGCUCAACCUUGGAACUGCCUUUGAUACUGGAGAUCUUGAGUCCGGGAGAGGUGAGUGGAAUUGCGAGUGUAGAGGUGAAAUUCGUAGAUAUUCGCAAGAACACCAGUGGCGAAGGCGGCUCACUGGCCCGGAACUGACGCUGAGACGCGAAAGCGUGGGGAGCAAACA
rnacentral:rRNA from 2 species